UGCGCAGGCGGUCCGUUGUGUCCGAUGUGAAAGCCCCGGGCUUAACCUGGGAAUGGCAUGGGAAACUGGCGGGCUGGAGUGUGGCAGAGGGGGGUGGAAUUCCGCGUGUAGCAGUGAAAUGCGUAGAGAUGCGGAGGAACACCGAUGGCGAAGGCAGCCCCCUGGGCCAACACUGACGCUCAGGCACGAAAGCGUGGGGAGCAAACAG
rnacentral:rRNA from 1 species